CCCCGGUUGGCUCAGUUGGUAGAGCGCUGCACUGGAAAUGGAGAGGUCCCGGGUUCGAUUCCCGGAACAGGCG
rnacentral:tRNA from 2 species